UACGGAGGGAGCUAGCGUUGUUCGGAAUUACUGGGCGUAAAGCGCGCGUAGGCGGCUUUGUAAGUUAGAGGUGAAAGCCCGGGGCUCAACCCCGGAAUUGCCUUUAAGACUGCAUCGCUUGAAUCCGGGAGAGGUGAGUGGAAUUCCGAGUGUAGAGGUGAAAUUCGUAGAUAUUCGGAAGAACACCAGUGGCGAAGGCGGCUCACUGGACCGGCAUUGACGCUGAUGUGCGAAAGCGUGGGGAGCAAACAGG
rnacentral:rRNA from 1 species